AACGAACGCUGGCGGCGUGCUUAACACAUGCAAGUCGAGCGCGAAAGGGGGUUCGCCCCCGAGUAGAGCGGCAGACGGGUGAGUAACACGUGGGUAACCUACCCCAGAGCGGGGAAUAACAGUUCGAAAGGACUGCUAAUACCGCAUAAGACCACGUCCUUUAGGGGAUGAGGUAAAAGGCUUCGGCCACUUUGGGAGGGGCCCGCGUCCGAUUAGCUAGUUGGUGAGGUAAUGGCUCACCAAGGCGACGAUCGGUAGCUGGUCUGAGAGGAUGAUCAGCCACACUGGUACUUAGACACGGACCAGACUCCUACGGGAGGCAGCAGUGGGGAAUAUUGCGCAAUGGGCGAAAGCCUGACGCAGCAACGCCGCGUGGGUGAAGAAGGCCUUCGGGUCGUAAAACCCUGUCAGAUGGGAAGAAACCUGCUUAAAGCAGCUGACGGUACCAUCAGAGGAAGCACCGGCUAACUCCGUGCCAGCCGCCGCAGUAAUAC
rnacentral:rRNA from 1 species